rnacentral:rRNA from 1 species
GGUGAAGCCCAGCUUGCUGGGUGGAUCAGUGGCGAACGGGUGAGUAACACGUGAGCAACCUGCCCUCCACUUCGGGAUAAGCCUUGGAAACGGGGUCUAAUACCGGAUAUGAGCUCGCAUCGCAUGGUGUGGGUUGGAAAGUUUUUCGGUGGGGGAUGGGCUCGCGGCCUAUCAGCUUGUUGGUGGGGUGAUGGCCUACCAAGGCGUCGACGGGUAGCCGGCCUGAGAGGGCGACCGGCCACACUGGGACUGAGACACGGCCCAGACUCCUACGGGAGGCAGCAGUGGGGAAUAUUGCACAAUGGGCGCAAGCCUGAUGCAGCGACGCCGCGUGAGGGAUGACGGCCUUCGGGUUGUAAACCUCUUUCAGCAGGGAAGAAGCGCAAGUGACGGUACCUGCAGAAGAAGCGCCGGCUAACUACGUGCCGGCAGCCGCGGUAAUACGUAGGGCGCAAGCGUUGUCCGGAAUUAUUGGGCGUAAAGAGCUCGUAGGCGGUCUGUCGCGUCUGGUGUGAAAUCCCGAGGCUCAACCUCGGGCUUGCAUCGGGUACGGGCAGACUAGAGUGCGGUAGGGGAGACUGGAAUUCCUGGUGUAGCGGUGGAAUGCGCAGAUAUCAGGAGGAACACCGAUGGCGAAGGCAGGUCUCUGGGCCGCAACUGACGCUGAGGAGCGAAAGCAUGGGGAGCGAACAGGAUUAGAUACCCUGGUAGUCCAUGCCGUAAACGUUGGGCACUAGGUGUGGGGCUCAUUCCACGAGUUCCGUGCCGCAGCUAACGCAUUAAGUGCCCCGCCUGGGGAGUACGGCCGCAAGGCUAAAACUCAAAGGAAUUGACGGGGGCCCGCACAAGCGGCGGAGCAUGCGGAUUAAUUCGAUGCAACGCGAAGAACCUUACCAAGGCUUGACAUGUACGAGAAAGCCCCCGAGACGGGGUUCUCUUUGGACACUCGUACACAGGUGGUGCAUGGUUGUCGUCAGCUCGUGUCGUGAGAUGUUGGGUUAAGUCCCGCAACGAGCGCAACCCUCGUCCUAUGUUGCCAGCGGGUUAUGCCGGGGACUCAUGGGAGACUGCCGGGGUCAACUCGGAGGAAGGUGGGGAUGACGUCAAAUCAUCAUGCCCCUUAUGUCUUGGGCUUCACGCAUGCUACAAUGGCCGGUACAGAGGGCUGCGAUACCGUAAGGUGGAGCGAAUCCCAAAAAGCCGGUCUCAGUUCGG